rnacentral:rRNA from 1 species
UACGUAGGGUGCGAGCGUUGUCCGGAAUUAUUGGGCGUAAAGAGCUCGUAGGCGGUGUGUCACGUCGGCCGUGAAAACCUGGGGCUUAACUCUGGGCGUGCGGUCGAUACGGGGCAUCACUAGAGUUCGGCAGGGGAGACUGGAAUUCCUGGUGUAGCGGUGAAAUGCGCAGAUAUCAGGAGGAACACCGGUGGCGAAGGCGGGUCUCUGGGCCGAUACUGACGCUGAGGAGCGAAAGCGUGGGGAGCGAACAGG